rnacentral:rRNA from 1 species
CGGCAAAAGCUCAAAUUUGAAAUCCCCCGGGAAUUGUAAUUUGAAGGUGGCCUCAGUUAGUCCAAACAUUCUUAAGUCCAUUGGAAAAUGGCGCCAUGGAGGGUGAUAGCCCCGUAAAGAUGUCGUUUGUUCUAUUUUCUCUGGCCACCAAAGAGUCGAGUUGUUUGGGAAUGCAGCUCUAAGUGGGUGGUAAAUUCCAUCUAAAGCUAAAUAUUGGCGAGAGACCGAUAGCGAACAAGUACAGUGAUGGAAAGAUGAAAAGCACUUUGAAAAGAGAGUGAAAAAGUACGUGAAAUUGUUGAAAGGGAAGGGCUUGCAAGCAGACACAACCUCGUGUUGGGCCAGCAUCGGGGCGAGAGGAAGUAAAAACGAUUUGGAAAUGUAACUUUCGAGUAUUAUAGACCUUAUCC